GUCGCUUAGCCUCACCGAAAAGACUGUCCAGCAGGAAAACAUUUAUGCCAAAUAUCAGGCAGGAUGGACAUCCUCCAUUCAGCUCUCAUCUGCAUUGAUGCACACACAUGUUCAUUAACAUGAGAACUGUUGGGUGUUACAAGCUGGGCUAUUAAGUUGUUUUUUUUUUUGCAAGGGGGCUAUUAAGUUGUUGCCUCAUGUUACUAAUGCCUUUAAUAUGUUGUUUCAAAUAGCCUUACUGAAUAAGUUGACUCAUGUUGUGUAGCUGACCGCGGAACAACUAUUUACCUAGAGAAGUCUGAAGGUAUUCCUCUUCUUUUUUUCUUUCAGAUCAAAUAGAAAACAUCAAUAUAGAUGAUAUUUGGCCUGUUCAAAUUUCUCCAUGGCUUAUUCACGAAUCUAUCUCACCGGAACAGCUACUUACCUGAGAGCAUAUGAUCAAAUUCUAUACCCUAUGGUAGGAGAACAUUGAUGGACAUGAAACUAGCUACUUACCUAAGAGCGUAUGAUCAAAUUCUAUACCCUAUGGUAGGAGAACAUUUAUGGACAUGAACCUGCUAAGAUCAUACCAGAAUUAUAAAAAGAAAACAAGCUGGAAGUCCAAGGACAAAGAAUAGGAGGACUAACCUAAGUAUCUUAGACUGCCAGAUUUCUAUUAUUUAAAAAUUGUCACCUUGCCUGCUUAUGAUCUUACCAUUUCAUUUUUUGUUUCCUAUUUUCAUCUUUACAGUGAAUAUAGAAAAAUACACGAGAAACUGAAGAUUCUUAGCAUCUUAAUGUUCUAUCCGUUUCAGUAUGCGACGCCAUAUGUUCCUUGCCGAGACCACAAAAGUUCCUAUUUUAGUAGAUUUGAGUUGACGUUUCUUCUUCUUUUACAAAAUAUACUUGCCACCAUCUCAGUUAGCAUAUCAAAUAGAAUGCCCCAAGACAGUAAGCCUGACGAGAAAACAUAGGGACGUCAAGAAUAUAUUUGAUUUCCAUUGAGAAAAAAAGACAUAGGUGUUUCUACUUCUAACUUCCAUCUUGAACCAUGACACUGCACUAUAGACUCUAUCUUCAUGUAAUUUGUAAUCGCACGCCACAUGAUUUAUGUUAAUCCAUGUUCUAUAUUACCACUCAUGUCUAGGGUUUAUUCCAUAUAGAUACAUCUUGAACUGCAUCUUAUUAGGAUUGGAUUUGUAUGGCAUGGACAUCUGAGCUGUUGACUUUUUCUACGGCCAAGAUUUCUGACCAAAUAUUUUAACAAUUAAUUACUUUAUUGGUUAUUUUCUGUAUUAUUUUAUACUUCAACCUUUACACCUUAUGACAUUCUUUUGUUUGCGGGGGUACAUGCAAUUGUUAUAUAUAUUUAGAAAUAGUACAUGUGAAGAAAAAUGAAAAUUUUCAGGUUUUUUAGAGGCGGAUAUUUUAUUGGCCUUACAGGUGAUUGAAAUCUACAAGAAGUGCUUAUGGUGUUGAGCUACCUUCUGGUAAAUUCAUAAACAUAUGUCUACUGUCAUUUUGGAGGUAGUAUAAUUAAUUUCAAAAGCCAGCCUCCAAAAGUUAUAUCUCACACCACUGUUAUAUAUGCAGUUUGUUGCGCAACACAUGAGUGAUCUGUUUUCUUACAGAUAGUGACAAAUAUAUUAAUAGAAGGCAUGUCAUGGCGUUUCUGGAGAGACUUACUUAAUUUCUUUUUUUGUUCAUGUUUUUCAAGAUAUGUUUUAAUUCCACUUUACACUCCUUUAUGUGGCAUUGUUCGUAAUUUAUGCUUGCUCCUCUCUUAUUUAUUUGGUUUGAGGGAACAUAACGAUUGGCAAUAUGCAUUGCAGGUUCAGUCCUGAACAUUGUGGACUGGAUGUACGUAUGAUGUUGUGAAGCUUUUUCUCCGUGUUUUGUUUUUGCCCACUGCAUUUAGUUGAUUUGAAAAAAAUGUUUGGAAUAUGUACAUAGGAUUUAGCCAUGUGGAUCUGUUCGUUACUCUUUCAUGUGCAGUUAAUUUAUAUGUAUACCAUUGAAAUUUUGAUUCAAUUUUUUUUUCAUGACGAGGUCUUUAAUUCAUUUGUGUUUAUCUC